rnacentral:rRNA from 1 species
UACGGAGGGUGCAAGCGUUAUCCGGAUUCACUGGGUUUAAAGGGUGCGUAGGCGGGUAAGUAAGUCCGUGGUGAAAUCUCUGAGCUUAACUCAGAAACUGCCGUGGAUACUAUUUGCCUUGAAUAUUGUGGAGGUGAGCGGAAUGUGUCAUGUAGCGGUGAAAUGCUUAGAUAUGACAUAGAACACCAAUUGCGAAGGCAGCUCACUACACAAUCAUUGACACUGAGGCACGAAAGCGUGGGGAUCAAACAGG